CUUCACCAUUCAGAGUAGCGCCAAGUGUCACGCGGAGGCGAUGGCCACGGAGCGCUCGCGGACACACGCACAGGUAGCGCGCUUGCGGGAGGUGCGCGCCAACUGAGGAGGUGCGAGCGCGCAAUGACUGAUUUCGCGUUCAAAGGAGAACCUGGAUUGCUUUAUGAAGAAAUAACUAUUCGACUUGACCAGCACCGCGCCAGUAUUGCGCGGACAACACCAGCAAUAGCGCCUCCCAGGGCCUCAUCUCCACCUACUUUUGAAUGUGUAAAAAAUGAACCUUUUCUGUGAUUUUAACUCCAGGACCUCUGUGCUCUUCCUGCUCUGCAACACAGGUGAAAGGACAGCAGCAAACAAGUAUCCAGAAUGGUUCAUGGUACCACUUGGCAUUGCUGAACAAAGUGCUGCUGCUCCCAAUACAGGUGUUUCAGUGCCAUUAUUGAUACCUGUGAUUCCAGAGAUGAUCUGCACUCCAUAGGCGGGGGGCGCAUUCAGCUCUUUCUCCUUUCAUAUCCACAGCAAGGCUCUGUAACUCUCUAACUGUGUAAGUCUGUGUAACUUUGUAGCUGUUUAACUGUGUAACUGAGUAACUGUUUUUCUCUAUAUCUUUCUGUGUAACUCUGUGUAAUUAUUUAACUGUUUAACUUUUUCUGUAACUGUAACUUUCUCUGUAACUGUGUAACUAUUUAACUUGGUAACUCUCUGUGUAACUGUGUAACUGUGCAAUUAUUUAACUGUGUAACUUUCUCUGUGACUAUGUAACUAUUUAACUGUGUAACUGUGUAUCUCUGUCUGACUUUGUGACUGUGUAACUCUGCCAGAUGCUUUGCAGCAAGAGAAAUACUGGGGUACAGCGUAUCACGUGCUGGCGCCAUUACGACAUACAGUAAUUCACAGAUUCAUAGAGGAUGAGUUUUACUGAAACAUUGCUGGUUUGAUAGGCACCGAGGUGUGUGAACUUUGUAUAAGUGGUACAGGAA
rnacentral:lncRNA from 1 species